rnacentral:rRNA from 1 species
GAUGAACGCUAGCGGCAGGCUUAACACAUGCAAGUCGAGGGGUAACAGAGUAGCUUGCUAUUGCUGACGACCGGCGCACGGGUGCGUAACGCGUAUAGAAUCUACCUUAAACUAAGGGAUAGCCUUUGGAAACGAAGAUUAAUACUUUAUAGUAUGUUUGGAUGGCAUCAUCUAGAUAUUAAAGAUUACGGUUUAAGAUGACUAUGCGUUCUAUUAGCUAGAUGGAGUGGUAACGGCACCCCAUGGCGACGAUAGAUAGGGGCCCUGAGAGGGGGAUCCCCCACACUGGUACUGAGACACGGACCAGACUCCUACGGGAGGCAGCAGUGAGGAAUAUUGGACAAUGGAGGCAACUCUGAUCCAGCCAUGCCGCGUGCAGGAAGACUGCCCUAUGGGUUGUAAACUGCUUUUAUACAGGAAGAAACAGUCUCACGUGUGAGGCCUUGACGGUACUGUAAGAAUAAGGAUCGGCUAACUCCG